GAUGAACGCUAGCGGGAGGCCUAACACAUGCAAGCCGAGCGGUAGAGUCUCUUCGGAGACUUGAGAGCGGCGCACGGGUGCGGAACACGUGUGCAACCUGCCUUUAUCUGGGGGAUAGCCUUUCGUAGUGAAGAUUAAUACCCCAUAAUAUACUGGAUGGCAUCAUCUGGUAUUGAAAACUCCGGUGGAUAGAGAUGGGCACGCGCAAGAUUAGAUAGUUGGUGAGGUAACGGCUCACCAAGUCAGCGAUCUUUAGGGGGCCUGAGAGGAGGAUCCCCCACAAUGGUACUGAGACACGGACCAGACUCGUAAGGGAGGCAGCAGUGAGGAAUAUUGGACAAUGGGUGAGAGCCUGACCCAGCCAUCCCGCGUGAAGGACGACGGCCGUAUGGGUUGUAAACUUCUUUUGUAUAGGGAUAAACCUAGCUACGUGUAUCUAGCUGAAGGUACUAUACGAAUAAGCACCGGCUAACUCCGUG
rnacentral:rRNA from 1 species